CAUCCCUUGUUCUAAACUUUCUCUUUCUUAACACAUGCGUGGCACACGAGGAGCCGCCUCCAACUCCCAAGCCGACGGCGGCAAUGGCGCGGCCGCGCGGGAGAGGCGAGGCGCGGCGGCGGCGGGUACUGGGCGAGGGAAGAGCCGAUCUUCUUCGCCUACACGUGGACAGGAUACGGCGUUCACAUACUAAAGUGGUAUAAUCGCUUCGAUCGAAUCGUUUUUUCUAGGCUUGGAGCGCGUGGAUUUGUAGUCUCCUCACUCAGUUGGGGCGCGUUCGCGUACAUCCGUGUUGGUGUUCUCGAAUCUGGAAUGGAGGAGAGAGUGGAGGAAAUUUGCAGCUAGGGUUCGUGUUUGGGAUGCUAGUGUUUGGAAUUUGCCAAUAUUCGGAUUGAUGGCCCGGCUCUCCGACCUAUUUCGUACUAGUAGAAAUUAUUCUCCAAUAUGCGACCUACAAUGUGCGACCCUUUAAGCAUGUCGAUGAUUACUAUGGUUCAAUCAGCUUUGGUGUGGUUUCUUUUGAUUAGCAUUGGCUAUUUGGGCUUCAGUUCUGAUUGGUUCCGUCAGGACUGUUCAGUCAUGUUGCUUGCCGUGGUGGAGGAGACGCUUCGAAAGUCUGAUCGAGGCAUUGCAUUGGUUAAUGGUUGGUCUAGAAGAGGGGCAAAUUUAUUGAGAUGUCACUGUUUGCUGAAUUGAUAUGGCCUUCAUGUUUGCCAUCGAUUGCAUCAUAUUUUCAGUUUUUUUUUUCGAGGCUCCUUGUCAAGAAUUGUGCCAUUCUGCACCUGCUCAGAUGCAUGAUAGGUAGAAUUUUGUUUAGCUCAAGUUCUCGUAUCCUUUUGCAGCUGCCAUCAUAUCCUACUAGAAAAACUAGCUGUAAUUUAUUUUAAUUAAUGUCCUCCAUUAACUAGUUGAUAUGUUCUUUUCCAUAUUCAAAUAUUUAUGGGUCACUUUCUGAUGAAGUUUUAUGAUAUCUGUCAUGCUACUGAGCCCAAGCUUCAUAUAGACCCCAAUUUAAGAACAUGAGUGGUAUGUGAAGUCAUACCUUGGGAAUCUAUCAUGAUAAGAUUGGCUAAGUUAUGCGAUGAGUCUAGGACACAUUCAUCCAUUGAAUUCUGUUGUCGCAUAUGAGUUUUUAGUUUUCCUAGUCUCACGGACCCACUUCAGUUAAUUGCUUUGGUUUGCAUUAUUUAGUUGAUGUUGAUAGAAACUCAAACAAGUUAAGUUCAUAUUGUUUACAGCCUUUCACUUGGUUUAAUUUUGAACAAUACUCAUUUUGGAGUUUGGACAAUAUUAGCAAAAUCUGCAAUAUGAAUUUUCAUGAAAUAUAUAUUCGGUGUCAAUGAUAAGUUCAUGGAAGGUUGAUGGGAGAGAAAGUAGUAUAGUACUUCCUCCGUUUCACAAUGUAAGUCUUUCUAGCUUUGCCCACAUUCAUAUAGAUGUUAAUGAAUGGCUAUAGAGUUUUCCCAGAUGCCACAGCAGAUUAAUGCUAUUCCAGAGUGCUGUCAUAAUAUUGCACUGGUUUGUUGGUUUCAUGAUAAAAUUGCUCGUUGUUUUGCUUUGCUAACCUCUUUUUUGCAUAACUGAUGCAAGUUGCAUUAUCUGUUGAGAGGAAAUACGCAGAUAAACUAGUUUGCUCUGUGGACAUUUGUCCCAUGUGCACUGUUUGAUGUCAUGGCUGGACUGCUAGAUGGACAAAGCACUUGCCCCACAUGCAUAGCUUCAAUUAUUCUCUAGUAAUUCACAUGUUUAUGGCGUCAUUACAGAACUUGGUAAGAUUACUUUCAUUGCCUUUAUUUUUCGUGUUCCAACUUCAGUAGUCCAAAUCAGUUGAGUGGUAUGUUAAGAAAAUGCAUACCAUUCAUCUCUUUGAGUUCAUUAGGAAGUGACUUUGUCAUUAUGUACUCUAGUUCUCAGCGCCACUCCUGGUUUCUGUUAAAAGUUGAGGUCUUUGCACCUGGUUUUCUGUCAAAAGAAAUCUUAUUGCAUGGUUUCCUUACUGAUUCUCUGCGCACUAUUGUUAUAAUAUAAAUCUAUUGAAUCAAUCUGUAAAUAAUUCUCUUAUUUUAUGUCAUUCAUUUUACAACAUUUUACUAUGGAAGUACCUUUGCAACAUGUACUUGCAUCACCGUGAAAGGAGUAUGGGGAAGGCAACCUGCCAACUUCUGCUAUUGAUCCAAGCAACUCUCACUUGUUUAUCUUCAGAGUGAUUUUGCAGCUAAAGAAUAUGCAUUUUUCCAGAUUUUACAAGUUCAGUUCCGAAUACUUCAGGCUUCCAACCGAAGAAAUACAGUGCUAUUACUACAUCAAGAGUAGCUGACAGUGACACCCAGAAAUUAACUGAAGCUAUGCAUAGGGGACGAUCAACUUGCUCCAGAAGGCUACAAACCAUAAGCAUGUUCACAGGCACAUACAUUGUUGGUAGUUUGCUCUCAUUCUUUUUUUAGAAAAACGAAAACUCUCAUUCAUUUAACGUGGAAAUUUGUCAGGUUAGGCCACCAUUGGAGGUGUCAUGGCUAAGAGUAAUUAGUACUGCAGCAGACUAAUUUUCAGGAUCAUCUGGUGAAACGUACACUUACUGCAUAUAUGAUUUAUAUCCAUCUCUGGCCCCAUUUUAUGUACAUUUGUUUUCUUCAAGAGCAACCUACCAAUAAUAUAUUUCUCCAGCAUCUGCGCCGUAUCAGCUCUUAUGCUGGGUUUCUUAACAAAUCACUAAACUCAGGUACAGGUAGGCAAGUGACAGCCUACAAUGUGGAGGGGCCCUUGCUGAAACCUAUAAUAACUACCAACCAGAAUUGGUAGCAUUGGAUACCUGCACUGCAUUCCAGUGUUGCAACUAACAUUUUGUUUUGAGUUGGCACUUUUCUGGACACCUUUAGGAAUGAUUAUGUCCACUUGUGUCCUCUGCUUGAACCUUUGGGGCAGCUAUCGAUCUCAUUUAUUCAGGUCUGAUCAAUCUGUGAUGCCUGAACCUCCCUGAAGUGAAAGGUGCUCUAUCGUGAUCUACUAACCUGAGACAUCUUGUCAUAUGGGGAGAAGUUUCAUUUGCUGUGUCAUGAGACCAGCGAGGAAAUAAGGCACAUAUAGUUUCAUUGUCAUGCCAGCCAGAGCGAAGACAGUUAUCUUGAAGUUGCUUAAUGUACUGGAAAUCGUGAAUGGUUCAAUGAGGCAUGGAAGUCGUCGGCGCUGUCCCUGUAUUUAGGCUUUCUUUUUUUCUACGGUAAUCCGUUGAAGUCUCUUGUCGAUGUUACAUUUUAUAUAUUGUUCUAUACUGGUGGUUCGUUCAUUUGUGUUUCCAUUAUGUUGAGCAGUUGAAAACGUGUGUACUGCGUGCCCUGUCUGUUGUAAAAAUAUUAAUAUAUUUUCUUUCUGUGAUUACUGGAAACACCUAUGCAAAUGCAAGGAGAUUAGGAGAGGAGGCAAUCAGACACCUAAUCACCACAUGUAUUUUAUACGCUGCAAUGCGAUGGAGGUUGAUGCAUUUGACAGCCCUGCGUACAAUUCUAGAGACGGAGAUUAAGAAUGUUGUGCAGACUGUGCAUGCCUAAGUAUAAUAUGUCGCAAUCGUUCCCCUUAUUAUUUACCUGGUCAGAACUCAGAACUCAGAAGUAGCUGCGAAAUGCAAAAUGAACUUUCGUCAAUUCAAUCUGCUGCCACGGUCCUGUCCCAUCUGGUGAAGGCUGUGUUUAGUUCAGCGCAAAGUUUGAAUUUUAGUUAAAAUUGAAGAUGAUGUAACUGAAAAGUUAUGUAAAGUUACGUAUG